GGAGAGGUGGCCGAGCUGGCUGAAGGCGCGCCCCUGCUAAGGGCGUAUACCUUUACGGGUAUCGAGAGUUCGAAUCUCUCCCUCUCCGCCA
rnacentral:tRNA from 1 species